AAAAUUUAUGAAAUAGUUUUGUUGUAUACAAGGGAAUAAAUACUAAGAUAUUGUGGAGAAGUUAAGUGUAACAGUUGCUCAAGUUGGUGAGUUAUUGACAAGUUGCUGCCUAAAUAUUCAGUUUGACACCAAAAUUUUGAAAAAGAAUUUUUCUUUCAAUGUCACAAAAAAAUGAAACCCGUAUUGGGUAAUUUAACUGUUGUUUCGGUGGCUGUUAAAUUCGAUUAGACUAAAUACACUAUAUUUUAAAUGUUGAGUUGAUAUAUUGAUCUAAAAUUUAUUUGUUGCUAUUGGGUUGAUAUUGCCGGUAGGUCCCUUUUCGGAAAAAUUAUUUUUCUUUUCAUUUUCAUGUCUAGCGAAGCGGAGUCGACAUUGUAAGAUGCUUGCAUUUGCCCGCAUGUCAUGACAUAGCGGGGUGUGGUACGUUCUAUAAUGUUGGUUCCUACAGACGCGAGGGCAUAUGAGCCGUAUCGUGGAUGUUUGUGUUUACUGGCUCAAUGUUUUUGCAUUGAACGAUUUACAUAUAAUCCUUAUCAUUUUUGAAUGUUGGCUUUGUGUCUUUGGUUCUUGUCCGUAGUUCUUUGACUUAUAAGAUGCUAUUAGAAGUGACUUGUUUUACAUAAAUCCUAUACGAUUGAUUGAUAUUGUGAUGACUCUUUGAAUUUAUACAACUUUGUCGCUUGAGUUAUUUCGUAGGUCAAAAAAAAAUGUGUUGUCCCCUUUUCCUAAACUUUGUGCCUUCUAGUGCUAAGAUUCUAAAAUUGAUGGAUUUGAUGGAUGUUUUGUUUUGGUCCAAUUAUUAUUGGCUAUAUAAGUUUUGAGAUGAUUUAACUUUUGUGCCAAUGACCCUUAAGUCCAAUUGCAACUGGCCAUAUAAAUUUGGAGAUGUUCAAAUGUUGCAUCGAAGACCCUAGUGUCCUAGUGCUAUUCUAAGAUGGUUAUAUGUGGUCUCCAUCACUUAAAUUCAAUUGAUAUAGAAAUAUACAUUAUUUUGACAUGGUUAUGUGUUGCCCCGAUAACGCUUAAGUCCGAUUGUUACCGACUAUAUAUAUUCAGAGAUGGUUAGAUGUUCCUUCGAUGGCCUCUAAGUACGAGAUUUUAUUCGUUGCCUCAAUGACCACUUAAAGUCCAAUAAAAUUUUAGAUGCUUAGAUGUUUUCUUGACAUGUUCAAUAAAUUUUUAUAUGGUUAUAUGUUGGCCCGAUGACCCAAAGGUAAACUGCUAUUGGCUAUGAUAAUUAUCUUAAGAUAGUUAAAUGUUGUCUGGAUGACUUUUAUUGGUUGCAUAAACAUAGAUGGUGAAAUAUUGUCUCGAUGCAGUUUAAUCCACUUGUCAAGGCAAGUUCACUUCCUUUUUGUUGGCAUUUUUGUUUUAUUUCAAUUUUAAAUUUUAUCAUGUACUAAUCUUUGUUUUUUAACAGGUUACGUUGAGACUUAGAACUGACGUGAAAGAGAAAAUUGCAUAAUUAACAUUGAUGUCUUAUGCUCGAAAAAUGUACCAAUUUUUCUCGAUAAUUAAAAUGCACUCAAUCCUCUGCCUAAAAUUCAGUUUGACACCAAAAUCUUGAAAAAUAAUUUUUCUUUCAAUAUGUCACCAAAAAAAAAAAGGUAAACUCGUAUUGGGUAAUUUAAAUAUUGUUUCGGUGACUUUUCAUUCGAUUAGACCAAAUACACUCUAUUUUAAAUGUUGAUGUUAUAUAUUGAUCUAAAAUGUAUUUGUUUCUAUUGGGUUCAUAUUGCCGGUAGGUCCUUUUUCGGUAAAAAUGUUUUUCUUUUCAUUUUCAUGCCUAGCGAAGCGGAGUCGACGUUGUAAGAUGCUUCCAUUUGCCCGCAUGUCAUGGCAUAGCCGGGUGUGGUAUGUUCUACAAUGUUGGUUCCUACAGACGCGAGGGCAUAUGAGCGGUAUCGUGGAUAUUUGUGUUUACUGACUCAAUGUUUUUGCAUUGAACGAUUUACAUAUAAUCCUUAUCAUUUUUGAAUGUUGACUGUCUUUGGUUCUUGUCCGUAGUUCCUCUUUGACUUAGAAGAUGUUAUAGAAGUGACUUGUUUUACAUAAAUCCUAUACGAUUGAUUGAUAUUGUGAUGACUUUUUAAAUUUAUACAACUUUGUCGCUUGAGUUAUUUCGUAGGUCAAAAAAAAUGUGUUGUCCCCUUUUCCUAAACUUUGUGCCUUCUAUUGCUAAGAUUCUAAAAUUGAUGGAUUUGAAGGAUGUUUUGGUCCAAUUGUUAUUGGCUAUAUAAGUUUUGAGAUGAUUUAACUUUUGUGUCGAUGACCCUUAAGUCCAAUUGCAACUGGCCAUAUAAAUN
rnacentral:lncRNA from 1 species